UACGUAGGGUGCGAGCGUUGUCCGGAAUUAUUGGGCGUAAAGAGCUCGUAGGCGGUCUGUCGCGUCGGUCGUGAAAACUUGGGGCUUAACCCUGAGCUUGCGGUCGAUACGGGCAUGACUGGAGUUCGGCAGGGGAGACUGGAAUUCCUGGUGUAGCGGUGAAAUGCGCAGAUAUCAGGAGGAACACCGGUGGCAAAGGCGGGUCUCUGGGCCGAUACUGACGCUGAGGAGCGAAAGCGUGGGGAGCGAACAGG
rnacentral:rRNA from 1 species